GCAAAGCCCCUCCUAUCUCCUCACUCUCUGGUUCGAGACUACAGGGAGAAGGAGCCAUCAGUCAGCUCUCUUGUGGAAUCGUUUUUUUUAGGAAAAUUCCUGCGUUUUAAAAUACAUUCCUAUUUUUGUACUGACUACAAUGAUGGAGCCUUUCUCUGACCAGAUUGUGAUGUUCAUGCUGGCUGCAAGCAUGGAGGAAGAAAGUUCUGCUGAACAUCAGGAUCCAGUUCAGGGAAUGUCUGCAUUGGGUGAGCCAGUAUUGCGGGUUUCAUUUCCACGUCCACGCCAGUAUCGCACUAGGCGUGAACUGGAGGAUCUCUGCGAGUUCGAGGUGAUACAAAAUUAUCGCUUAUCGACUCGCGACAUAUAUUCGCUGUACGCUCUGUUGGAGGCCGACCUGGAACCUCGGGCACGGACAAAUCGUGCAGUCAGCGGUUUCCAGAAACUGCUGGCGACGUUACAUUUUUUGGCGUCAGGCACAUUCCAGCCUACACUGUCUCAAACAUGCGGUUUUUCACAGUCGACACUGUCGCGCUGUAUAACCCAGGUCAUUAGGGCUUUCCGCAAAUUGACGAUCCAGUACAUCACAUUUCCAGAGACGGACAGCGAAUGUCGUGAGAUCAAAUUAGGCUUUUUCAACAAAUACAAAUUUCCCAAUGUGCUGGGCGCGAUUGACUGUACCCACGUGCAGAUCAGACCGCCACGGAAUUCGGAGGAAUGUUUUCGGAACCGAAAACAUUUCCAUUCCCUGAAUGUACAGGCGGUCUGUGAUGUAAACAUGAGAUUUUUGAACAUUUUUGUGGGAUUUCCUGGAUCAUCUCACGACUCCUUCAUCCUAAGCCAGUCAUCACUGUUUGACAAGUUCGAAACAGGAAACAUGCCUGGUGGCUGGCUGUUAGGUAUGUAUUUUUUUUUUAUUAUUAUUUUAUUAAUUUUUUUUUUGUUUUUUUUUUUACAAGUACCUAACAUUUUUUUUUUUUUUCUAUAGGCGAUGCGGGUUAUCCAAACAAACCGUGGCUCUUAACCCCAUUGUCUAAUCCUGUUGGUAGAGCAGAAAAACGUUACCAAGAGACACACAUUGCAUCGAGGCAAAUAAUUGAUCGUGCCUUCGGUGUACUUAAAAGCCGGUUUCGAUGUUUAGACACUUCCGGCGGUGCUCUUUUGUACUCACCGGCGAAGGUUUGCGGCAUGGUAAAUGCAUGUUGUAUUUUACACAACAUAUGUGUCGCAAACCGUUUGCCGGUGACUCUUCGUCGCAGUGCUUUCCGACGCGGGAACCGGUCUUCUGCUCUACCGGUGGGUAUGGACGAAGGAGAUGAUUCCCGGCGGACAUUGAUCCAAAAAAUUUUUUCAGUUGCCUAGUUUUACAUCCUGUUGAUGUACAUCCCCAGGCCAUGUUUGUACAGUUCGUUCCUCCCUGUUUUAUCCUGUUGUUGGGUUACCGCAAAUAUUUGACCCUUUUAUCCAACUCUACCAUGGGCGACCUACUUGUGAUGUGGACCUGACCCUCCGCCAUGUAGCAGACAACCCCCUCAGGUCUGGCGAUGUAUCCUUCCCAAGUGGCGUGGAUGUGAAGAAGAGACACAACAUUUCCCCUGAUGUUCCAUGGGCGACCUACUUGUGAUGUGGACCUGACCCUCCGCCAUGUAGCAGACAACCCCCUCAGGUGAGAUGUAUUGACCAAAACUCCCUUGUCCCAAAUCACCCCGGCAUGUCCAAAGUGCAGCCCUCCGGCAUUUGCAAGAUUGCACAUCCAAACAUUCCCUGAUACACCAAUGCUUGUCAGGAAAUGUUUGGAUGUGUAGUGACGCAAGUGCCGGAGGGUUGCAUUUGGGCCCACUGUACCUCUUUUCUUCAGUCCCAGGGUGACACUAUUACCCAUAUCUGGAAGCUCAUACUGUUCUCUUCCACAGGUCUGGCGGUGUAUCCUUCCCAAGUGGCGUGGAUGUGAAGAAGAGACACGACAUUUCCCCUGAUGUUCCAUGGGCGACCUACUUGUGAUGUGGACCUGAUCCUCCGCCAUGUAGCAGACAACCCCC